UAAGUACUCCCUCCGUUCAACAAAAGAUGUCUCAAGUUUGUCAAAAUUUGGAUGUAUCUAAACAUGACUUAGUGUAUAGAUGCAUUCAAAUUUGGUCAAAGUUAAGACAUCUUUUGUUGGACGGAGUGAGUAUCCG
rnacentral:pre_miRNA from 1 species